rnacentral:rRNA from 1 species
GACGAACGCUGGCGGCGUGCUUAACACAUGCAAGUCGAACGGAAAGGCCCUGCUUUUGUGGCGUGCUCGAGUGGCGAACGGGUGAGUAACACGUGAGUAACCUGCCCUUGUCUUUGGGAUAACUUCAGGAAACUGGGGCUAAUAUCGGAUAUGAGCUCCUGCUCCGUGGGGGGGGUUGGAAAGUUUCGGCUGUGUGGUAUCGACUCGCUGCUUAACAGCUUGUUUGUGGGGUAGUUGCUGACCAAGGCUUUGACGGGUAGCCGGCCUGAGAGGGUGACCGGCCACAUUGGGCCUGAGAUACGGACCAGACUCCUACGGGAGGCAGCAGUGGGGAGUAUUGCACAAUGGGCGGAAGCCUGAUGCAGCAACGCCGCGUGCGGGAUGACGGCCUUCGGGUUGUAAACCGCUUUCGCAUGUGACGAAGCGUGAGUGACGGUAAUGGGUAAAGAAGCAACGGCUAACUACGUG